UACGUAGGGUGCAAGCGUUAUCCGGAAUUAUUGGGCGUAAAGAGCUCGUAGGCGGUUUGUCACGUCUGCUGUGAAAACUGGAGGCUCAACCUCCAGCCUGCAGUGGGUACGGGCAGACUAGAGUGCGGUAGGGGAGAUUGCAAUUCCUGGUGUAGCGGUGGAAUGCGCAGAUAUCAGGAGGAACACCGAUGGCGAAGGCAGAUCUCUGGGCCGUAACUGACGCUGAGGAGCGAAAGCAUGGGGAGCGAACAGG
rnacentral:rRNA from 1 species